ACUCUGUUAAGAAUAGCUGUAUUAGGUGGGCCCAAGGGUCCAUCUUGCCCAGUAUCGUGUCUACAGCAGUGGCCAUGAGUGGAUGCCUGAAAAGGGUGAAGCUUAAGGCUGCUCAAAGAUCUGGAUGAGAGGGCUCACCACCUUGGAAUUAAAGCUGGGAAAUGCUUUUGGAAAAACAGAACAUGUGCUGGAUGAGGAUAGUGUUGUCCCUCUGGCCUGGCAGGUCACAGCUGAAAUUAACCAUGAGAUAUUUAACACUGAAGUGGAGGAGAAAGCUGAAAAACUAGGAGAGCAACUACUUGAAAACCGGAAAUCCUUGAAGAAAGGAGCUGGUUUUACAGAAACAGAGGUGGCCCUAGGAGUUUGAGGGGCUGCGAGGACAGACUGCUUGCCUGCCUGCCUGCUGAAGCCCUGCACCAGAGGCAGAGGCUGUUCCCUGGAGUAAAGGAGUUUCAGGUUGGUGCCACCAAGAUGUGCGUCUGCCUUAGCCAGUGAGGAUCCGUGCAUGCAAGGGAACAUGUCUGUACCCAACAGCAAUGACCUGUCCCACUCCUUCUUCACGCAACAUGUGGGAAGCCAUUUAGUAAUGCUGUUACUUCCUUGUUUUCACCGGGAUGGGAAACCAGAGAAAUAGGAAAAAUAAGAGUGAAAGCUGUAGUGGUCAUUAGGAUUGUGGAGCUGCCCACUUUUAAUAUACAGCUCCACAGGUCUGGGGCCUGCCCUGAAAUUCCAGCUCGUGGGGAGCCUCCAGUCCUCCUGGGGAAGGAUUCACAGAUGGGUCCGAAAUCAGAGCAGCUGAUGUUGUCCUCUCCUGCCAGGAGGGUGAGGACCACCAUCACCAUCACCA